AGAGUUUGAUCCUGGCUCAGGAUGAACGCUGGCGGCGUGCCUAAUACAUGCAAGUCGAACGCUUCACUUCGGUGAAGAGUGGCGAACGGGUGAGUAAUACAUAAGUAACCUGGCAUCUACAGGGGGAUAACUGAUGGAAACGUCAGCUAAGACCGCAUAGGUGUAGAGAUCGCAUGAACUCUAUAUGAAAAGUGCUACGGGACUGGUAGAUGAUGGACUUAUGGCGCAUUAGCUUGUUGGUAGGGUAACGGCCUACCAAGGCGACGAUGCGUAGCCGACCUGAGAGGGUGACCGGCCACACUGGGACUGAGACACGGCCCAGACUCCUACGGGAGGCAGCAGUAGGGAAUUUUCGGCAAUGGGGGAAACCCUGACCGAGCAACGCCGCGUGAAGGAAGAAGUAAUUCGUUAUGUAAACUUCUGUCAUAGAGGAAGAACGGUGGAUAUAGGGAAUGAUAUCCAAGUGACGGUACUCUAUAAGAAAGCCACGGCUAACUACGUGCCAGCAGCCGCGGUAAUACGUAGGUGGCGAGCGUUAUCCGGAAUUAUUGGGCGUAAAGAGGGAGCAGGCGGCACUAAGGGUCUGUGGUGAAAGAUCGAAGCUUAACUUCGGUAAGCCAUGGAAACCGUAGAGCUAGAGUGUGUGAGAGGAUCGUGGAAUUCCAUGUGUAGCGGUGAAAUGCGUAGAUAUAUGGAGGAACACCAGUGGCGAAGGCGACGAUCUGGCGCAUAACUGACGCUCAGUCCCGAAAGCGUGGGGAGCAAAUAGGAUUAGAUACCCUAGUAGUCCACGCCGUAAACGAUGAGUACUAAGUGUUGGGGGUCAAACCUCAGUGCUGCAGUUAACGCAAUAAGUACUCCGCCUGAGUAGUACGUUCGCAAGAAUGAAACUCAAAGGAAUUGACGGGGGCCCGCACAAGCGGUGGAGCAUGUGGUUUAAUUCGAAGCAACGCGAAACCUUACCAGGUCUUGACAUCGAUCUAAAGGCUCCAGAGAUGGAGAGAUAGCUAUAGAGAAGACAGGUGGUGCAUGGUUGUCGUCAGCUCGUGUCGUGAGAUGUUGGGUUAAGUCCCGCAACGAGCGCAACCCCUGUUGCCAGUUGCCAGCAUUAAGUUGGGGACUCUGGCGAGACUGCCGGUGACAAGCCGGAGGAAGGCGGGGAUGACGUCAAAUCAUCAUGCCCCUUAUGACCUGGGCUACACACGUGCUACAAUGGACAGAGCAGAGGGAAGCGAAGCCGCGAGGUGGAGCGAAACCCAUAAAACUGUUCUCAGUUCGGACUGCAGUCUGCAACUCGACUGCACGAAGAUGGAAUCGCUAGUAAUCGCGAAUCAGCAUGUCGCGGUGAAUACGUUCUCGGGCCUUGUACACACCGCCCGUCACACCAUGAGAGUCGGUAACACCCGAAGCCGGUGGCCUAACCGCAAGGAAGGAGCUGUCUAAGGUGGGACUGAUUAUUGGGGUGAAGUCGUAACAAGGUA
rnacentral:rRNA from 1 species